GGGCCCGUAGCUCAGCUUGGAUAGAGCGACUGGUUCCGAACCCUUCGCGAGAGGGGCGGGAGUCGAAGCUUCGGUCCCA
rnacentral:tRNA from 1 species